UGGGGAAUAUUGCACAAUGGGGGAAACCCUGAUGCAGCGACGCCGCGUGAGCGAUGAAGGCUUUCGAGUCGUAAAGCUCUGUCCUAUGGGAAGAUAAUGACGGUACCAUAGAAGAAAGCCCCGGCUAAUUACGUGCCAUCAGCCGCGGUAAUAUGUAAGGGGUGAGCGUUGUCCGGAAUUAUUGGGCGUAAAGAGUGCGUAGGCGGCAAAUUAAGUCAGAUGUGAAAACUAAGGGCUCAACCCAUAGAUUGCAUCUGAAACUGAUAUGCUUGAGUCAAGGAGAAGAAAGUGGAAUUCCUAGUGUAGCGGUGGAAUGCGUAGAUAUUAGGAGGAAUACCGGUGGCGAAGGCGACUUUCUGGACUUGAACUGACGCUGAGGCACGAAAGCGUGGGGAGCAAACAGG
rnacentral:rRNA from 1 species